UGCAGUCGAGCGGAACGAGUUAUCUGAACCUUCGGGGAACGAUAACGGCGUCGAGCGGCGGACGGGUGAGUAAUGCCUGGGAAUAUGCCUUGAUGUGGGGGAUAACUAUUGGAAACGAUAGCUAAUACCGCAUAAUGCCUUCGGGCCAAAGAGGGGGACCUUCGGGCCUCUCGCGUCAAGAUUAGCCCAGGUGGGAUUAGCUAGUUGGUGAGGUAAAGGCUCACCAAGGCGACGAUCCCUAGCUGGUCUGAGAGGAUGAUCAGCCACACUGGAACUGAGACACGGUCCAGACUCCUACGGGAGGCAGCAGUGGGGAAUAUUGCACAAUGGGCGCAAGCCUGAUGCAGCCAUGCCGCGUGUAUGAAGAAGGCCUUCGGGUUGUAAAGUACUUUCAGUUGUGAGGAAGGUAGUGUGUUUAAUAGAUGCAUUGCUUGACGUUAGCAACAGAAGAAGCACCGGCUAACUCCGUGCCAGCAGCCGCGGUAAUACGGAGGGUGCGAGCGUUAAUCGGAAUUACUGGGCGUAAAGCGCA
rnacentral:rRNA from 1 species